ensembl:antisense A730035I17Rik RIKEN cDNA A730035I17 gene
UGCUGUUGCUCUUUACCACCGCCGCCGCCGCCGUGGUCCUUAGUGCCCAAGCCGCCCCCUUGCUCGUCUUGGGGAUUCGCAUCAGUGCUGUGAAGUCUCUUGGGGCAGCGGAAUCGCAGAUGUGCCACAUAGGGGAACUCAAACUGGAAACGUUGGCUGCAUUCCAGUUCCAUUCGGGACAACACCUCAGAAGCUUCGUCCACCCUAUGAUGUGCAAGGAAAUUACCCUCAGACACCUCCAUCACACUUGCUGAGACUCACCCGGAAGAUGUAAGGUACUGUUCUCUUGUCCGUGGACUUGAGGGCUACGAAGGCUAUGCUGUCAUACAGGGAAGUAUGGCUCAGUACACAGGGACCGAAUAUGGCGUUCUCUGGGAUGUCGCAGGUUGUAUAUACACUGGUAAAAAUGUCUGUCAGACACUGUUGGACAGCCUUGGCAUCUCCAUCCCAGAUGCCUCUCUGGAUGCCUGAAUCCUCCAUCACUGGAGACAGAUACCCAGGAGGAGAAGAGAGUUGUUAUUGCCUUUUCUGCUACGAACCUCGGCAGAGCGUUUCCGCUACCAGACAUAUUUUCUUUGCACUUGCCGGCUUUUUUACAUAGCUCCUACUUUAAAAAUAAAGCCGAUCAAUCUGU